AUGGCAAAUCAGUGGAAAAAGUGGAGAAGGAAUCCAGUAGACCUAAACAUUGUCCCGGAGAAAAAAUCCCCGCACUCCUCUGCUCUGCCAACUGAACCAUGGAGGCUACCGACUGAAAUAGCAUCACGAGUGGCUGACGUUGAGCGGACCAGGGCUGGGGAGAAACGUGACCCCAGGCCAAGGCUGCAUCUCUGCGAAGCGAUGAGCUGACACCAGCUGGGACGCCUGAGCUGGAUCUGUGCUGCCAAACACAAAUCACUUCUCCGCUG
rnacentral:lncRNA from 1 species